rnacentral:rRNA from 1 species
AUACGUAGGGGGCGAGCGUUGUCCGGAAUGAUUGGGCGUAAAGGGCGCGUAGGCGGCGCGGUAAGUCUGGAGUGAAAGUCCUGCUUUCAAGGUGGGAAUUGCUUUGGAUACUGCCGCGCUUGAGUGCAGGAGAGGUUAUCGGAAUUCCCGGUGUAGCGGUGAAAUGCGUAGAGAUCGGGAGGAACACCAGUGGCGAAGGCGGGUAACUGGACUGCAACUGACGCUGAGGCGCGAAAGCGUGGGGAGCGAACAGGAUUAGAUACCCUGGUAGUCCACGCGGUAAACGAUGAAUGCUAGGUGUUGCGGGUAUCGACCCCUGCAGUGCCGGAGUAAACACAAUAAGCAUUCCGCCUGGGGAGUACGGCCGCAAGGUUGAAACUCAAAUGAAUUGGCGGGG